rnacentral:rRNA from 1 species
UACAGAGGUCCCAAGCGUUGUUCGGAUUCAUUGGGCGUAAAGGGUGCGUAGGCGGCGCCGUUAGUCAGGUGUGAAAUUUCGGAGCUUAACUCCGAAACUGCAUUUGAUACUGCGGUGCUUGAGGACUGGAGAGGAGACUGGAAUUCAUGGUGUAGCAGUGAAAUGCGUAGAGAUCAUGAGGAAGACCAGUGGCGAAGGCGGGUCUCUGGACAGUUCCUGACGCUGAUGCACGAAGGCCAGGGGAGCAAACGGG